GCCAUAUAGAGUGAGAGUUGCGACAACUCCAUUGACUCCAAUGGAACGCUUUUUUUUACAGCAAUGGCGGCUCGUGGAGCCUCUAAAUAGUUCCCGGAAGUAGCAGCAAACUGAUGCCGCGCCGUAGAGAUGCAGCAGAACAAACCUUUCGCGACGCACUUUUAACAGACCCAGGUAACUGGCUGAUGGUUCACUGGAAUGCUGACUGACUGCUGAUUGACUUGCUGCUGGUUGACUGGGCAGUGUCACCUGUCCCUGUCUCUCCUCUCUAGCCAUGUCCUUUUUCUUCACUCUCACUUUCCCUUCUCUGAGUGUCCUUGUUCUUUUUUCCUCAACCUUUGAAACUGAUAGAGGUCUAGGGGUGCAUCGUGGAGCAGGGCCCUCCUCUUUUUGACCACAGGACGAUGUACAAAGAUUGUGGGAAUAGCAUCUGGUCUCAGCCUACUCUUGAAUUUUUUGGUCAUGACAAAUUGCUUUGCCUCAAUUUGUCUGCAUACUGACUUCAGUUUAGUUUCCACACAAACCUUUUUUUUUGUCUACCCACUUACAGUACAUAUCACAUGGUGGUUAAAUGCACAGUUAUAGGUAACACUGAUGACUCCCUGCAAUGUCUCACCAUGAGUCUCAGCUCCCUGGGUUUUGCAAAGCUUUGCUUGUUCCUUAUUUCUAGUAAAACAUUGUCAAUGUAAAAAA